rnacentral:ncRNA from 1 species
UUCCACGGCGCCGGCCACUCCACAACCAUGGCCGGCUGACCGUGAAAAAAGGAGGAGAAGGACAGGGCCCGGGGCUCGGGCUGCGGCAGUGUGGAGACCUGUCGCAAGGCGGCGCAGUCAAAUGAGGCUGGCCGUGAGCACACAGCAAGCGGAGGCUCUGUGUGCGGAGCCGGAAAACAUGGCA